rnacentral:rRNA from 1 species
UGCAACUCGCCUGCACGAAGCCGGAGUUGCUAGUAAUCGCGGAUCAGAAUGCCGCGGUGAAUGCGUUCCCGGGUCUUGUACACACCGCCCGUCACACCAUGGAAGUUGGGGGUGCCCAAAGCCGGCAGGGAAAUAUGCUGUCUAAGGCAAAACCAAUGACUGGGGUGAAGUCGUAACAAGGUAGC